rnacentral:rRNA from 1 species
GCUUUGUCCUGUGACUGCGUACCUUUUGUAUAAUGGGUCAGCGACUUAUAUUCAGUGGCAAGGUUAACCAUCUAGGGGAGCCGUAGGGAAACCGAGUCUUAACUGGGCGUUCAGUCUCUGGAUAUAGACCCGAAACCAGGUGAUCUAGCCAUGGGCAGGUUGAAGGUUGAGUAACAUCAACUGGAGGACCGAACCGACUAAUGUUGAAAAAUUAGCGGAUGACUUGUGGCUAGGGGUGAAAGGCCAAUCAAACCUGGAGAUAGCUGGUUCUCCCCGAAAGCUAUUUAGGUAGCGCCUCGGACGAAUACUACUGGGGGUAGAGCACUGUUAAGGCUAGGGGGUCAUCCCGACUUACCAACCCUUUGCAAACUCCGAAUACCAGUAAGUACUAUCCGGGAGACACACGGCGGGUGCUAACGUCCGUCGUGGAGAGGGAAACAACCCAGACCGCCAGCUAAGGUCCCAAAUUACUACUAAGUGGGAAACGAUGUGGGAAGGCUCAGACAGCCAGGAUGUUGGCUUAGAAGCAGCCAUCAUUUAAAGAAAGCGUAAUAGCUCACUGGUCGAGUCGGCCUGCGCGGAAGAUGUAACGGGGCUAAGUAGUAAACCGAAGCUGCGGCAAUAUACUUUUGUAUAUUGGGUAGGGGAGCGUUCUGUAAGCGGUUGAAGGUGUGUGGUAACGCAUGCUGGACGUAUCAGAAGUGCGAAUGCUGACAUGAGUAA